rnacentral:rRNA from 1 species
AUUGAACGCUGGCGGCAGGCUUAACACAUGCAAGUCGAGCGGAGAUGAGGUGCUUGCACCUUAUCUUAGCGGCGGACGGGUGAGUAAUGCUUAGGAAUCUGCCUAUUAGUGGGGGACAACAUUCCGAAAGGAAUGCUAAUACCGCAUACGCCCUACGGGGGAAAGCAGGGGAUCUUCGGACCUUGCGCUAAUAGAUGAGCCUAAGUCGGAUUAGGUAGUUGGUGGGGUAAAGGCCUACCAGGGCGACGAUCUGGAGCGGGUCUGAGAGGAUGAUCCGCCACACUGGGACUGAGACACGGCACAGACUCCUGCGGGAGGCAGCAGUGGGGAAUAUUGGACAAUGGGCGUAAGCCUGAUCCAGCCAUGCCGCGUGUGUGAAGAAGGCCUUUUGGUUGUAAAGCACUUUAAGCGAGGAGGAGGCUACCUGGAUUAAUACUCUAGGAUAGUGGACGUUACUCGCAGAAUAAGCACCGGCUAACUCUGUGCCAGCAGCCGCCGCCGUAA